ACGUCGCUGAGGGCUUCUUUCUCGUCAUGUUUUCCCAACAACUACCCUGGCCUUUCGUUACUUACGGAUCUGUUUCGGUGCUUUGAAUCUUUCAAAGGGUUUCGUGCUGUUGCCAUGCGCUUUCUUCUUCGCUCCAGAGCUUGGUCCUUCCAACUCUAGCGGUUGUUGAUGAGAGCCUCGUUCUCUUCAGUCUCUUAAAGUUCCAGAAGGGUGAUGGCUGCAACCUUCUCUUGCCGUUUCAAUGUUUUGAAGCUAGAAUCUUUUUGUGCUCUGCUCGCUAGGAGGGACCAGAGUCGAACCACUAAACCUCUCCUUGCUCCUGCUAGUACCCACCAAUGCUGGUAUUUCCCCUGUGAUGGCCGGACCAAGACUUUGUCAACCUUGCUUCGCCUCUCAUCCUUUGGGAGUCGCCUUCGGGACAAUUUGUGGUUCUUCAGAUUGUUCUCCGGCUGAAAAAAAAAGAGAAGUAAAAGUAGUGGAGGAUUACCGAUAUGCAGUGCCGUGCUUAGCGUAAUAGGGGCCUAAGGCAAAAUAGCUAAUUUUAUUUUUAAUAAUAAAUAUCUAGUAAUUUUAGUAUAAUAAUAGUAUUUUUAAUAUACGUUGACAAAUAAACAACAGCUUAAAAAAUUAUCAAAAACUUAGAUUGAAAACAUUAUAUGUCUUGUUAUUAGCAAAAUUCUACAUAGACAAAGAAGUUUUCAACAUUAAUAAGAAAACCAGAAGUUAAUGCUCAAAAGAAAAUAUAAAUUGAUGUUUGAUUAUUAAAAGAAAGCAUAUUAUCACGUGUUUAUGUCAUAAUCUAUAAAUUUGGGGCCCUAAAAUGAACUAAUAUGAUAAGGGGCCUGAGGCCAAUGCCUCAAAAUCAAUAGGGUAGGCACGCCAUCAUAUUACCUUAUAGCACUCCAUAUUCUUAGAUUAUUUUCUUCUUUAGAAAUAAAAUAGUUGACAUUCAUGUUUGUUUAACAACAACUUGACCUAAUGUCAUCCAUAAGCUGUAAUUAGAAAACUAUGGUAUGUUUUAAUACUCAAUUUGCAUGUUCAAACAUAAAUAGACUUAAAGAUUUCCAGUAUAUAACUCUCUUUUUUUCUUUUCAAAAUGGAACAAUUCCAUAAUAGAGUUGAAUUGAAUUUCACUAAUCUUAUUUCAUUUUAAAAUAAUAUGUAAAAGUAAUUUUAUUACUCUAUAAAAAUAAUAUCAUGUUUUACUUAAAUUUGAAAAAAAAAUA